rnacentral:lncRNA from 1 species
GUAGUAUUGACUUAAGCAUGACUUCAAAGAUGUGUAUCUUUGAGGCCUGAGCAAAUUGACAUAACUGAGAUGUUCAGUUUUUCCAAUUUAAUUUGUGUUGUCAGCUAAAUCUGUUUACAGAAUACAUGGUGGCAUUUAAAAAUCUAAUUCAAUGCUCUACUUGAAAAUCUCUGAUCACGCUUUUGAGCCAGAGCUUUUCUCAAAUAUUACAUCCUUUCUAGGAUUGUAUUUAUUUGCAAAAGCAUUUCCUUAGAAGUUUUAAAACUGUUUAAUAUAUUCAUUCUUUGUUUUUAUAGGCAUACUGAGUAAAACCUAUAUUCAAUUUCAUAUACAUGUCUGCCAGCAAAAAAAAUUGUUUUCAACAUGGGACACAUCUUCUGUAAUGACUCCAUGUCAAAUAGCCUGAACAAUCCAUCAGCAACCCAUGAGCCAGCAGAACAAAAGAUGACAGAACUGGGGCUGGCAGAGCAAGGAAUGAAAAAGAACAGAUCAGUGUUCAGUUUGAAAGAGCCAUAA